rnacentral:rRNA from 1 species
CAGUAGCCGCGGGAAUACGUAGGUGGCAAGCGUUGUCCGGAAUUAUUGGGCGUAAAGGGCUCGCAGGCGGUUUCUUAAGUCUGAUGUGAAAGCCCCCGGCUCAACCGGGGAGGGUCAUUGGAAACUGGGAAACUUGAGUGCAGAAGAGGAGAGUGGAAUUCCACGUGUAGCGGUGAAAUGCGUAGAGACAUGGAGGAACACCAGUGGCGAAGGCGACUCUCUGGUCUGUAACUGACGCUGAGGAGCGAAAGCGUGGGGAGCGAACAGGAUUAGAUACCCCUGUAGUCCCUGUCUCUUAUAC